UCAGCUUUAGUAUAAUUAAAUUACAAAGGUCUUGUAAACCUUAGAUCUAGGUAGUAGAGGCUGAU
rnacentral:tRNA from 1 species